rnacentral:rRNA from 1 species
UACGUAGGGGGCUAGCGUUGUCCGGAAUCAUUGGGCGUAAAGCGCGCGUAGGCGGCCAGAUAAGUCCGGUGUGAAAGUCACAGGCUCAACCUGUGAAUGCCGCUGGAAACUGUCUGGCUUGAGUCCGGAAGGGGCGAGUGGAAUUCCUGGUGUAGCGGUGAAAUGCGCAGAUAUCAGGAGGAACACCGGUGGCGAAGGCGGAUCUCUGGGCCAUUACUGACGCUGAGGAGCGAAAGCGUGGGGAGCGAACAGG